rnacentral:tRNA from 1 species
GGAGGCGUGGCAGAGUGGUCGAUUGCGGCGGUCUUGAAAACCGUUGUACCUUGACGGGUACCGUAGGUUCGAAUCCUACCGCCUCCGCCA